CUUUUUUACAGUUAUAUGUUACUGUAUUUAUCAUGUUCAGUCUAAUUGAAUUUAUUGAUGUUCAUUGUAUUUAAAGCAAUCAUUUUAUAAGCACUUUAUUGUUUUAUAUACUUUUGUAAGUCCUAUGUGGUGCUUUCAUUUCUCCAUUGAGCUUUCCUAGCCCUAUUGGCCAUGUGAGCUAUUGUUAUCACUUUUAAAAUCUCAGGAAUGUUAACGAAAUUCUGGUGGAAUAAAGGGGGAUUUGAAGUAAUUUAUCUGAUUGUUUAGCCGUGUUUCAUUUCAAGUAUUCAGUUAUUUGUAUACGCCUGCCUUUUAAGACGGAACACAUUAUUGUUAAAAAAAAAAUGUCUGUGUUAACAUGUUGCACCAUAUUUUGAGUUCAUCCUAUGCGAAUUACUUCAAACUUAACAUAAUUUUUUGUGAUGGUCUCAAGGUCUGUUUAUUUUCUGUUGAAAAUCCUUUUUUUUUUGUUAACAAGUUUUUGCACUUUCCUCUUUUUUGCGCCGUUACUUAAGAAUAUCUCUUACAUUGCAUUUCAAAGUUAAUCGCUGUGGUGGUGUAGAAUCUGCAUAUUUCUACAAUAUAUAGGUGUAUCAUGCUCUCAUUGUGCAGCAG
rnacentral:lncRNA from 1 species